UCAAACCAGUGAUGUAAAGGUAGCAUACAAGGCUCAUAAUCUUGGUGUAGUGGUUCAAGUCCACUCUGGUGAU